CUCUCUUGAGCUGAUGCCAGCUGCUGGAUGGAGUACCUCUCUGGAAUCUUUGACAGUGGAGAGGAGAUGGCAUCUGACAGAGUGUAUGAUAAAGGCACUGGUGAACAAAACUCCUUGCAGUAUAGUGGAAGCAAGUAGGUUAGAAAAUGUUCUCUGUCCACUCACAUUGGUUCCACAGUGAACACUCAUUCCACAAGAACUGUAUAAGAAUCCAAGGGACAGAAGCAGCAACAAAGUUGGGAAAUAGGAAAAUAAGCCAAUUCGAGGAAAGAUCACUUACAUAAGUCAGCUAAAUGCGUUCAGACCGAGAGAUCAGGCUAACUUGCGUCCCAAGAAUGAAAAUCACUGACCCAAGUUACUGUAGUAAUAGCCAACCCCACACUCUGAAUGCUCUCCUCCUUCAUCUCCGCCUCUUGGAAUCCCUGACUCCUUCAUUCAAGGC